ACGCUGGCGGCAGGCUUAACACAUGCAAGUCGAACGGUAGCAGGAGAAAGCUUGCUUUCUUGCUGACGAGUGGCGGACGGGUGAGUAAUGCUUGGGAAUCUGGCUUAUGGAGGGGGAUAACUACGGGAAACUGUAGCUAAUACCGCGUAGUGUCGAGAGACGAAAGUGCGGGACCGCAAGGCCGCAUGCCAUAGGAUGAGCCCAAGUGGGAUUAGGUAGUUGGUGGGGUAAAGGCCUACCAAGCCUGCGAUCUCUAGCUGGUCUGAGAGGAUGGCCAGCCACACUGGAACUGAGACACGGUCCAGACUCCUACGGGAGGCAGCAGUGGGGAAUAUUGCGCAAUGGGGGGAGCCCUGACGCAGCCAUGCCGCGUGAAUGAAGAAGGCCUUCGGGUUGUAAAGUUCUUUCGGUAUUGAGGAAGGUUGAUGUGUUAAUAGUACAUCAAAUUGACGUUAAAUACAGAAGAAGCACCGGCUAACUCCGUGCCAGCAGCCGCGGUAAUACGGAGGGUGCGAGCGUUAAUCGGAAUAACUGGGCGUAAAGGGCACGCAGGCGGUUAUUUAAGUGAGGUGUGAAAGCCCCGGGCUUAACCUGGGAAUUGCAUUUCAGACUGGGUAACUAGAGUACUUUAGGGAGGGGUAGAAUUCCACGUGUAGCGGUGAAAUGCGUAGAGAUGUGGAGGAAUACCGAAGGCGAAGGCAGCCCCUUGGGAAUGUACUGACGCUCAUGUGCGAAAGCGUGGGGAGCAAACAGGAUUAGAUACCCUGGUAGUCCACGUUGUAAACGCUGUCGAUUUGGGGAUUGGGCUUAAAGCUUGGUGCCCGUAGCUAACGUGAUAAAUCGACCGCCUGGGGAGUACGGCCGCAAGGUUAAAACUCAAAUGAAUUGACGGGGGCCCGCACAAGCG
rnacentral:rRNA from 1 species